rnacentral:rRNA from 1 species
AACUCGGGCUACUACCGCAUACGUUCUGAGGAAGAAAGCAGGGGAUCGCAAGACCUUGCGCUGAUGGAUGAGCCCAAGUCGGAUUAGCUAGUUGGUGAGGUAAAGGCUCACCAAGGCGACGAUCCGUAGCUGGUCUGAGAGGACGACCAGCCACACCGGAACUGAGACACGGUCCGGACUCCUACGGGAGGCAGCAGUGGGGAAUAUUGGACAAUGGGCGAAAGCCUGAUCCAGCGACGCCGCGUGGGUGAAGAAGGCCUGCGGGUUGUAAAGCCCUUUCGUUGGGGAAGAAAAGUUCCGACCUAACACGUCGGGACCUUGACGUUACCCAAAGAAGAAGCACCGGCUAACUCUGUGCCAGCAGCCGCGGUAAUACAGAGGGUGCGAGCGUUAAUCGGAAUUACUGGGCGUAAAGCGCACGUAGAUGGCUUUGUAAGUCAGAUGUGAAAUCCCCGGGCUCAACCUGGGAACUGCAUUUGAAACUGCAUUGCUCGAAUGUGGAAGAGGGAAGCGGAAUUCCAGGUGUAGCGGUGAAAUGCGUAGAUAUCUGGAGGAACAUCAGUGGCGAAGGCGGCUUCCUGGUCCAACAUUGACAUUCAGGUGCGAAAGCGUGGGGAUCAAACAGGAUUAGAUACCCUGGUAGUCCACGCCAUAAACGAUGAGAACUAGAUGUCGGGAGGGUUAGCCUUCCGGUGUCGCAGCUAACGCGUUAAGU